UUUCCAAAUGGUAUCUAAACAACUGGACUUGCAAAAGAUUAAAACACAACCUAUUAGUCCAGCGCAGAAAAAAUAUAACCCCAAACGUUCUUGCAAUAACAGCACAUUACUGAUAGAGUGGAGACUGCAGUGCCAUUCUUCUACCCCAUAAUUCUCUUUUAUUUCAUUAAACUCCUUCUGCAACACAAAGAGAUUGUUAUGUGAAGUAGGUGAAUAAUUUCUGCAUAAUAUUUUCCAAAAAUGCAUGAAUAAAGAAGACGAAAUACAUAGGCUUUGCUUGCAGAAAUGGCACUUAGCCCUUGAGAAGCAUCAAAGAAACUUAGAAGUGUGGGACAAUGAGCAAAUUUUCCAACACAGACCUUGCGCACUGCAGCCCUGCCCCUGUAGUCUCCCUUUGAGGCAUGUGGAUGUUUGCAUAUUUUGAUGGGCACGAUGACAGCCUUACCAACUGAUAGGAGCUUCAUCCUGAGUUCUGCUGAGAAAUAACAGUAAAGCUGUAUUUGGAUGCUACAUGAACUCAAUUAUCCCCUUCUUUAGAAACAAUGCAACGAGAGACGCCUCUGUCUUGCUGGUCAGCAUCCUAAGAGACAUCUGGGUGGUGUGGCAGGUGCCUUGGACAAAGAAGUGGGCACCUAAACCCAAGUGUGUAAUGAGUGCAUGCUGCCACCCACCUGAAGUACAGCCAUGGAGAGCAAUGACUCCGGUGACACCUUCCUUAUGUACUGAGUCUGGGGGGAUCAGUCCGGGACUGAUGCACCUUCAAGGUGUUGAUGCUGCACGCCUAGGACAGGCCCUCCAGUGCUGCCCACGAUGGAUGGUUUUGCUGCACUGUCAUUUGCACUUAGUGAUUUCCAACGUACCUAGCCUAAGUUUAUGAUGUAGGGAAAAACCCAGUAAGGAAUAAUAUGAAAAUAAAAGAGACCUGAAUGAA